CCCUAAGGGGACUGCCCCGGACAACGGGGAGGAAGGUGGGGAUGACGUCAAGUCCGCAUGCUCCUUACGUCUAGGGCUACACACGUCCUACAAUGGGGUCGACAGUGGGAUGCAAAGCCGCGAGGUGGAGCCAAUCCCCAAACGGCCUCUCAGUUCGGAUAGUAGUCUGCAACUCGACUACUUGAAGUCGGAAUCGCUAGUAAUGGCGGAUCAGCAUGCCGCCGUGAAUACGUUCCCGGGUCUU
rnacentral:rRNA from 1 species